AUUGAACGCUGGCGGCAUGCCUUACACAUGCAAGUCGAACGGUAACGGGCCUUCGGGUGCCGACGAGUGGCGAACGGGUGAGUAAUGCAUCGGAACGUACCUUUCAGUGGGGGAUAACGUAGCGAAAGUUACGCUAAUACCGCAUAUUCUGUGAGCAGGAAAGCAGGGGAUCGCAAGACCUUGCGCUGAUUGAGCGGCCGAUGUCAGAUUAGCUAGUUGGUGAGGUAAAGGCUCACCAAGGCGACGAUCUGUAGCGGGUCUGAGAGGAUGAUCCGCCACACUGGAACUGAGACACGGUCCAGACUCCUACGGGAGGCAGCAGUGGGGAAUUUUGGACAAGUGGGGCAACCCUGAUCCAGCCAUGCCGCGUGUGUGAUGAAGGCCUUAGGGUUGUAAAGCACUUUCGCCGGUGAAGAUAAUGACGGUAACCGGAGAAGAAGCCCCGGCUAACUUCGUG
rnacentral:rRNA from 1 species